CGAGUCUCCAGAGAAAAACGGAAAAGAACCGCAAUUCCUCGGUCCAUCACUUCGUGCCCAUUCUCCCCAUCAUUCCUCUCACACGACUCGCAACGCAACAAAGGAAGCCAGGACGAAAGGAAAGCUCUCUCUCUCUCUCUCUCCCUCUCUCCUCUCUGCAGCAGUCUGUUCAUCUCUCUCUCUCCGUAGAGUGGUGGCUAGAUUCGAUUCCUUUCCUCCGCUGCACCCCAAGCCCAGCAGGGGAAGGCUGCGGCCGUCGGCUUUCCCACCCUUCGAAGCCGAAUCCGAUGGUUCCACCCGUUGACUGCCUUCGCCAUCGGAGGCCGCGCCAUUGCGCCCUCGAACCCCGCGCCCUCCUGCCCCACCGCCGCCUAUAGAUAGCGGCCCGCCCCCCGCGAUUGCUCCGGCCAAAUGGCGGUCGGUGGCGACGACGACAUGGAGAGAGACUUCGCCGCCAGGCUCCGCCUCGCGCCUUCCCCUUCUUCCGCCUCCGCCUCGGCUUCCCCCACCGCGGCAGCCGCUGGCGGCGGCAGCGGGAUCGCCUUCCGCGCGCCGCAGGAGCAGUUCACCGUCGACGAGUUCGAGCUCGGCAGGAUCUACGGCGUCGGCUCCUACUCCAAGGUUGUGAGGGCGAAGAAGAAGGAUACGGGGAACGUCUACGCGCUCAAGAUCAUGGACAAGAAGUUCAUCACCAAGGAGAACAAGAUCUCAUACGUCAAGAUGGAGCGCAUCGUGCUCGAUCAGCUGGAUCACCCGGGCGUCAUCAGGCUCUUCUUCACGUUCCAGGAUACCUACUCCCUCUACAUGGCGCUGGAGUCGUGCGAAGGUGGGGAGUUGUUCGACCAGAUCAUUCGGAAAGGUCGCCUGUCUGAGGACGAGGCACGGUUUUAUGCUGCUGAAAUUGUUGAUAUUUUGGAGUAUUUGCAUAGCGUGGGCCUAAUUCAUCGUGAUGUGAAGCCAGAAAAUUUACUGCUGACUUCUGAUGGGCACAUCAAGAUUGCUGAUUUUGGUAGCGUGAAGCCUACUAGGGACACUCCAAUCAAAGUCCUUCCAAAUUCAACUACUGAGAGGGCCUGCACAUUUGUUGGAACAGCUGCAUAUGUACCACCUGAGGUCCUGAACUCUGCCCCGGCAACUUUUGGAAAUGAUUUGUGGGCAUUGGGCUGCACGUUGUUUCAAAUGCUGUCUGGCUCUUCACCAUUUAAGGAUGCCAGUGAGUGGUUGAUUUUCCAGAGAAUUACAGCAAGGGACCUCAGAUUUCCUCAGUACUUUUCGGAUGAAGCAAGAGAUCUCGUUGACAAGUUGCUGGAUAUGGAUCCAAUCAAACGGCCAGGUGCUGGACCUGAUGGUUAUGCUUCCUUGAAGAAGCAUCCUUUCUUCAGAGGCAUUGACUGGAAAAAUAUAAGGAAGACACGUGCACCAAAACUCGCGGUGGAGGAAAAUGCAAAUGAGGAUGAUGAUACUCAGGAUUCAGAUUGGUUGUCGCACAUGGGAAGUGCACCAGUCAACCAACAUGUCCCUGUUGGGAAUAAUGGUGCCGCGUCAUCUUCUGAAGAGAGAAAUGAAAAAUGAAAACGGGGGAAUUGAUCGGCUCCAUGUCACAUUUUUUCUGCAAGUAAGGUGAUUCAUGUCAGUGCAUAUUGCUUUAACAAUGUGGCAGGCAGGAAUUCCUGGAGCCUGGUGAGUCUGUAGUGUUGAUAUCUAAGUUGAAGAAGAUUAAUAAGCUAUCAAAUAAGAAGGUUCAGCUGAUACUCACCAACAAACCUCAAUUGAUCUGUGUUGACCCUGCAAAAAUGGAGACCAAGGGGAAUAUUAUUUGGUCUGAUGAUCCAAGUGAACUCAACGUACAAGUAACAAACUCAUCACAUUUUAGGAUAUGCACGCCAAAGAAAGUGUUCAUAUUUGAGGAUGCAAAACAGCGUGCCUGGCAAUGGAAGAAUGCAAUUGAAGACCUCCAACACUGCCAGAAGAAUUGAUUUUAAAUUCACACCAAGAUGCCAAAAUGGGUGAUAUUAAGCAUUGUGAAUACACCGUGGCCAUCUUUUUCACUUGGAGGAAAAUUUGGGAGAUUCUUGCUCCUGGCCUCCUCUCGUGCCCGGCAAAGGAAAUCACUUAAUGGCAUGUGGAUUGAUGCUAUGUCAAUUUCUCUAAACAAUUUUGUUUGUUGUCUUUGUGAGUUGCUGCGGCUGAUAGCAUCAGAGUAGUUGAAAUGAAGUUUUAUCAUGAGAUGACCCAUUUUGUACUGUUAUAUCAUCGAACUAUCUUAACAACAUUCUCAUUGUGUAUCUUCUUUGGCAUCUCCUGUUUGAAGGCUUAAAACGUUGUGUGAUGACUUUUGUU